rnacentral:piRNA from 1 species
UCUAAAAAUUGUCAUUUUCUU